AACGAACGCUGGCGGCGUGUUUAAGACAUGCAAGUCGUACGGAUCAGAACUGUAGCACUACUGUUUUGGUUAGUGGCGCACGGGUGAGUAACACGUGAAUGACAUGCCCUGCAGUGGAGAAUAGCCCAGGGAAACUUGGAUUAAUACCCCAUGGUAUCGCGAGAGUAAAGGUGGCCGCAAGGCUGUCGCUGCAGGAUUGGUUCGCGUCCUAUCAGCUAGUUGGUGAGGUAACGGAUCACCAAGGCGACGACGGGUACCUGGUCUGAGAGGACGAUCAGGCACACUGGAACUGAGACACGGGCCAGACACCUACGGGUGGCAGCAGUCGAGAAUAAUUCACAAUGGGGGCAACCCUGAGGGUGCAACGCCGCGUGGAGGAUGAAGGUCUUCGGAUUGUAAACUCCUGUCAUCUGGGAGUAAGACCUGACGGUGAAAAGCCGGCAGGGUUGAUAGUACCAGAAGAGGAAGGGACGGCUAUCUGCGUGCCAGCCGCCGCCGUAA
rnacentral:rRNA from 1 species